CUGCCUUUAAGUGGGGGAUAACCCGGGGAAACCCGGAUUAAUACCGCAUGAUCUCGCAAGAGCAAAGUGGGGGAUCGCAAGACCUCACGCUUUUAGAGGAACCUACGUCGGAUUAGCUUGUUGGUGAGGUAAUGGCUCACCAAGGCGACGAUCCGUAACUGGUCUGAGAGGAUGAUCAGUCACACCGGAACUGAGACACGGUCCGGACUCCUACGGGAGGCAGCAGUGGGGAAUAUUGGACAAUGGGCGAAAGCCUGAUCCAGCAAUACCGCGUGUGUGAAGAAGGCCUUCGGGUUGUAAAGCACUUUAAGUUGGGAAGAAAAAACUUCAAUUAAUACUUGAAGUCUUGACGGUACCGACAGAAUAAGCACUGGCUAACUCUGUGCCAGCAGCCGCGGUAAUACAGAGGGUGCUAGCGUUAAUCGGAUUUACUGGGCGUAAAGCGUGCGUAGGCGGUUUGAUAAGUCGGUUGUGAAAGCCCCGGGCUCAACCUGGGAAUUGCGGCCGAUACUGUCAGACUAGAAAACGGUAGAGGGAGGCGGAACUCCAGGUGUAGCGGUGAAAUGCGUAGAUAUCUGGAAGAACACCGAUGGCGAAGGCAACCUCCUGGGCCUGUUUUGACGCUGAGGCACGAAAGCGUGGGUAGCAAACAGGAUUAGAUACCCUGGUAGUCCACGCCGUAAACGAUGAGAACUUGACGUUGGUUUGCUUAGCAAAUCGGUGUCGUAGCUAACGCGAUAAGUUCUCCGCCUG
rnacentral:rRNA from 1 species